rnacentral:rRNA from 1 species
GAUGAACGCUAGCGGCAGGCCUCAUACAUGCAAGUCGAGGGGCAGCAUGACACUUCGGUGUUGAUGGCGACCGGCGAACGGGUGCGUAACGCGUAUGUAACCUACCUUGUACAGGAGAAUAGCUUCUGGAAACGGGAAUUAAUACUCCAUAUGGUCUUUUUAACAUAAGUUAGAGAGAUGAAAGCUCCGGCGGUACAAGAUGGGCAUGCGUCCUAUUAGCUAGUUGGUAAGGUAAUGGCUUACCAAGGCAACGAUAGGUAGGGGUUCUGAGAGGAUGAUCCCCCACACUGGCACUGAGACACGGGCCAGACUCCUACGGGAGGCAGCAGUAGGGAAUAUUGGACAAUGGGCGCAAGCCUGAUCCAGCCAUGCCGCGUGCAGGAUGACGGUCCUAUGGAUUGUAAACUGCUUUUAUACAGGAAAAAUAAGUCCUUGCGAGGACCAAUGAUGGUACUGUAAGAAUAAGCACCGGCUAACUCCGUGCCAGCCGCCGCCGUAACAC